AGUGGCGGACGGGUGAGUAACGCGUGAGGAUCUGGCUUCAGGACGGGGAUAACAUUGGGAAACAGGAUCGGCUAAUACCCGAUAUGGCGAGCAGCUGAAAGAUUAUUUGCCUGAAGAUGAACUCGUCGUCCGAUUAGCUAGUUGGGGUGGUAAAGGCUCCCCAAGGCGAUGAUCAGGUCAGCUGGUCUGAGAGUGAUGAUCAGCCACACUGGGACUGUAGACACGGCCCAGACUCCUACGGGAUGGCAGCAGUCAGGGGAAUUUUCCGCAAUGCGGCGAAAUGCCUAGAUAUUCGGAGCAAUACCAGGCGUGCGGGAGGACGGCCUUUGGGUUGUAAAC
rnacentral:rRNA from 1 species